AGUAAACAUUUUACCAGAAACUCCCUGGCAGCCUUUUCCUGAACUGUCCUAAGGGCUAUGGCUGAAGUGUAAGUGAGUGGCCCUGGAGGUGGGUGCCUCUCCCCGGCGCAGUUUUUCCUUCCAUCACAAGCAUGGCUGAAGCUGGGUGGUGGUGCAUACAGAUUCCAGCCAGCAAGGAGGGGAAAGAGAGUUCAGAGGACUCACCUCCACUGUCCCCGACCCAGGCCUGUAGCAUCUAUAUUGGCUCCUCUCAGGUUCCACAGAAUUCCUCAAGAUGACUGAGGUUGGUCCCUGAAGAAACCAAAUUCAGUGUAAGAAAACCAACAUCACAAAGAGUGUGUUCAUGUGAUUCACUCCUCAUCACUAGCUGGAUUAUUAAAACUCCAGGAGCGUCUUCAUCAUUUUUAGUCACUAUUUUC
rnacentral:lncRNA from 10 species